CAUCAUCUGUAUUUUAUUUCAUCAGAAGAAUAAUAUGUGGUAUUGCCUGAGGGUACAGGAAAAGCACAUUUCCCUCCCCAGGAAGACUGUUUCCUUUGGGGCCUACAAGGUGAGCUGACAGU